rnacentral:rRNA from 1 species
AUGCAAGUCGAGCGGACAGAAGGGAGCUUGCUCCCGGAUGUUAGCGGCGGACGGGUGAGUAACACGUGGGUAACCUGCCUGUAAGACUGGGAUAACUCCGGGAAACCGGAGCUAAUACCGGAUAGUUCCUUGAACCGCAUGGUUCAAGGAUGAAAGACGGUUUCGGCUGUCACUUACAGAUGGACCCGCGGCGCAUUAGCUAGUUGGUGAGGUAACGGCUCACCAAGGCGACGAUGCGUAGCCGACCUGAGAGGGUGAUCGGCCACACUGGGACUGAGACACGGCCCAGACUCCUACGGGAGGCAGCAGUAGGGAAUCUUCCGCAAUGGACGAAAGUCUGACGGAGCAACGCCGCGUGAGUGAUGAAGGUUUUCGGAUCGUAAAGCUCUGUUGUUAGGGAAGAACAAGUGCAAGAGUAACUGCUUGCACCUUGACGGUACCUAACCAGAAAGCCACGGCUAACUACGUGCCAGCAGCCGCGGUAAUACGUAGGUGGCAAGCGUUGUCCGGAAUUAUUGGGCGUAAAGGGCUCGCAGGCGGUUUCUUAAGUCUGAUGUGAAAGCCCCCGGCUCAACCGGGGAGGGUCAUUGGAAACUGGGAAACUUGAGUGCAGAAAGAGGAGAGUGGAAUUCCACGUGUAGCGGUGAAAUG